ACGGAGGGGGCUAGCGUUGUUCGGAAUUACUGGGCGUAAAGCGCACGUAGGCGGACUGGAAAGUUGGGGGUGAAAUCCCGGGGCUCAACCUCGGAACUGCCUUCAAAACUAUCAGUCUGGAGUUCGAGAGAGGUGAGUGGAAUACCGAGUGUAGAGGUGAAAUUCGUAGAUAUUCGGUGGAACACCAGUGGCGAAGGCGGCUCACUGGCUCGAUACUGACGCUGAGGUGCGAAAGCGUGGGGAGCAAACAGG
rnacentral:rRNA from 1 species